rnacentral:rRNA from 1 species
AACGUAGGUGGCGAGCGUUAUCCGGAUUCAUUGGGCGUAAAGAGCUUGUAGGUGGCGGCGUAAGUUGGACGUGAAAUCGCCCGGCUCAACCGGGCGGGGUCGUUCAAUACUGCGCGGCUGGAGGAGGUCAGAGGGAAGUGGAAUUCCUGGUGUAGCAGUGAAAUGCGCAGAUAUCAGGAAGAACACCUAUGGCGAAGGCAGCUCUCUGGGACGGUACUGACGCUGAGACGCGAAAGCGUGGGGAGCGAACAGG